GACGAACGCUGGCGGCGUGCCUAAUACAUGCAAGUUGAGCGCUGAAGGUUGGUACUUGUACCAACUGGAUGAGCAGCGAACGGGUGAGUAACGCGUGGGGAAUCUGCCUUUGAGCGGGGGACAACAUUUGGAAACGAAUGCUAAUACCGCAUAAAAACUUUAAACACAAGUUUUAAGUUUGAAAGAUGCAAUUGCAUCACUCAAAGAUGAUCCCGCGUUGUAUUAGCUAGUUGGUGAGGUAAAGGCUCACCAAGGCGAUGAUACAUAGCCGACCUGAGAGGGUGAUCGGCCACAGUGGGACUGAGACACGGCCCAAACUCCUACGGGAGGCAGCAGUAGGGAAUCUUCGGCAAUGGACGAAAGUCUGACCGAGCAACGCCGCGGGAGUGAAGAAGGUUGUCGGAUCGUAAAACUCUGUUGGUAGAGAAGAACGUUGGUGAGAGUGGAAAGCUCAUCAAGUGACGGUAACUACCCAGAAAGGGACGGCUAACUACGUG
rnacentral:rRNA from 1 species